AACGAACGCUGGCGGCAUGCCUAACACAUGCAAGUCGAACGAUAACUUCGGGUCGAUUGGCGCACGGGUGCGUAACGCGUGGGAACUUGCCAUUGGGUUGGGAACAACUUCCCGAAAGGGGUGCUAAUACCGGAUAAGGUGUUAGGACCAAAGAUUUAUCGCCUUUGGAUGGGCGCGCGUUAGAUUAGCUAGUUGGUAGGGUAAAAGCCUAUCAAGGCGACGAUCCAUAGCUGGUCUGAGAGGAUGAUCAGCCACACUGGAACUGAGACACGGCCCAGACUCCUACGGGAGGCAGCAGUGGCGAAUAUUGGACAAUGGGCGAAAGCCUGAUCCAGCAAUGCCGCGUGAGUGAUGAAGGCCUUAGGGUUGUAAAGCUCUUUUACACGGGAUGAUAAUGACAUUACCGGGAGAAUAAGCUCCGGCUAACUCCGUG
rnacentral:rRNA from 1 species